UCAAUGGUGGUUCAGUGGUAGAAUUUUCAUCUUCCGUGUGGGUGACCAGGGUUCGAUUCUCAGCCAGUGCA
rnacentral:tRNA from 1 species